AGCGAACGCUGGCGGCAGGCUUAACACAUGCAAGUCGAACGGGCGUAGCAAUACGUCAGUGGCAGACGGGUGAGUAACACGUGGGAACGUACCCUUUGGUUCGGAACAACACAGGGAAACUUGUGCUAAUACCGGAUAAGCCCUUACGGGGGAAAGAUUUAUCGCCGAAGGAUCGGCCCGCGUCUGAUUAGCUUGUUGGUGAGGUAAUGGCUCACCAAGGCGACGAUCAGUAGCUGGUCUGAGAGGAUGAUCAGCCACACUGGGACUGAGACACGGCCCAGACUCCUACGGGAGGCAGCAGUGGGGAAUAUUGGACAAUGGGCGCAAGCCUGAUCCAGCCACGCCGCGUGAGUGAUGAAGGCCCUAGGGUUGUAAAGCUCUUUUGGCGGGAAGAUAAUGACGGUACCGCAGAAUAAGCCCCGGCUAACUUCGUG
rnacentral:rRNA from 1 species